rnacentral:rRNA from 1 species
UACGAAGGGUGCAAACGUUGCUCGGAAUCAUUGGGCGUAAAGCGCACGUAGGCGGCCUUGUAAGUCGGAUGUGAAAUCCCACGGCUCAACCGUGGACGUGCAUUCGAAACUGCUCGGCUCGAGUAUGGAAGAGGGUCGCGGAAUUCCCGGUGUAGAGGUGAAAUUCGUAGAUAUCGGGAGGAACACCAGUGGCGAAGGCGGCGACCUGGGCCAAUACUGACGCUGAGGUGCGAAAGCGUGGGGAGCAAACGGG